UUGAGUGUCUUCAAGCUUUCUGCAUCGGUCUGUGACGAACUAACUCGUAUGAUACGUCAAUAUUGGUGGGGAGUGGAGAAUGGCAAGAAAAAGAUGGCUUGGAUGAGCUGGGAUAAACUGAGGCUGCCUAAGUCCAUGGGUGGCAUGGGGUUUUGAGACAUGAAGUCCUUUCACCGGGCAUUGCUUGCUAAAAAAGCGCGGCAUUUGUUGGACACGCCGGAGAGUCUUUGUGCUCGCCUUCUAAAGGCAAAGUAUUAUCUCUCUGGAGAGCUGCUGGAUACAGUGUUCUCGGGCAAUGGUUCAUCAGUGUGGAAAGGUAUAUUGCAUGGCCUUGACUUCCUCAGGAGAGGUGUAAUUUGGAGGGUGGGGAACGGGGCUGUCAUACGCACCUGGAGGGGUACCUGGAUCCCCCCAUCGUCGUUUCGCCCCAUCACUCCAAAAGGCAUUUGUCGCCUGAACGGGGUAGUUGAUUUUCUUGAUAACGGGGCUUGGUGGGUGGAUCGUCUUCGUGAAUUUUUUUGGCCCAUGGACGUAUAGUAUAUCACAAAGAUCAGAGCUUCGCCCCGCAUGCGGAAUGAUUUCUUGUCCUGGUUCCCGGAGAAGAGCGGGACCUUCACGGUGAAGAGUGCAUACAGACUAGCCACAUGUGAUCAUAACAUUGCCUUUGCAGGUGGUUCUUCUAGUUCAGACCCUGAGGGGAAUCGCUUGCUGUGGAACUGGAUUUGGUCGUCC
rnacentral:rRNA from 1 species